AUUGAACGCUGGCGGCAGGCCUAACACAUGCAAGUCGAGCGGAGCGGCCGACGGGCGAGUAAUGCCUAGGAAUCUGCCUGGUAGUGGGGGAUAACGUCCGGAAAGGGGCGCUAAUACCUAAUGUGAUCAAAUGGGCCUAUGUCGGAUUAGCUAGUUGGUGGGGUAAAGGCCUACCAAGGCGGCGAUCCGUAACUGGUCUGAGAGGAUGAUCAGUCACACUGGAACUGAGACACGGUCCAGACUCCUACGGGAGGCAGCAGUGGGGAAUAUUGGACAAUGGGCGAAAGCCUGAUCCAGCCAUGCCGCGUGUGUGAAGAAGGUCUUCGGAUUGUAAAGCACUUUAAGUUGGGAGGCGUUACCAACAGAAUAAGCACCGGCUAACUUCGUGCCAGCCGCCGCGGUAAUUC
rnacentral:rRNA from 1 species